CAAAUAGAUAUUGUAAAAGCAGGAAGGUAAAAGAGAUUCUAGCGUGGCUUAAGAUAGAAUUUACGGAAAUUAGUAGCAAACUUGAUAGUAAAAGUAAAGUUCGGGAAGAUAGAUCAGUUGAAAGUGAAAGUCGGUGGUGAUAAUUCAGGCAGUUUAUGGUUGGGAAAUUCGCAUGCAAGGAAAAACUAGAUUUUUGAAGCUGUUUAAAGUAAAACUGCUGUGCGAAACUGUUUUUACUUGUCUUCACCUAAACCAGGCUUGUCCAACCUACGUGGGCCAAAUUUCACAGUCAGCUGUCGGGCCAAAAUUAGGAAAACUUUCAAUUUUCAGCUG